CAUAUAUAAUAUAUAAGCUGCCUUGAAUAUGUGAAAAAGAAUAUGGAAUUAGACUUUUGGGUUGGUGUUACUAUUUUGGGUAUGUAAUCCAAGGGCAAAAUUAAAGAGAUGUGAACCAAAAAUCAAAUCUUGAAAUAGAAGUUUUAAUUUUUUUU